rnacentral:rRNA from 1 species
UACGUAGGGCGCAAGCGUUGUCCGGAAUUAUUGGGCGUAAAGAGCUCGUAGGCGGCCAGUUGCGUCCGCUGUGAAAUCCCGGGGCUUAACCCCGGGCGUGCAGUGGAUACGGGCUGGCUAGAGGCAGGCAGGGGAGACUGGAAUUCCUGGUGUAGCGGUGAAAUGCGCAGAUAUCAGGAGGAACACCGGUGGCGAAGGCGGGUCUCUGGGCCGAUACUGACGCUGAGGAGCGAAAGCGUGGGGAGCGAACAGG